rnacentral:lncRNA from 9 species
GGCGACCGAGGGCCCGGCAGGGAGGGGCGGGAGCACGGGGGCCAGGCGGCUCCAGGCCUCGCGUCCACCUGCUCGCGCUGCGGUCCACUAGCUGGGCCCGCGCCCGCCUCGGCCCAUGGCAGCGUCCUCGGCCCUGUCUGCGGCGGCGGCGGCGGCAGCCCUGUCCGGCCUGGCCGUGCGACUGUCGCGCUCGGCCGCGGCGCGCGGCUCCUACAGCGCCUUCUGCAAGGGGCUCACGCGCACACUGCUCACCUUCUUCGACCUGGCCUGGCGGCUGCGCAUGAACUUCCCCUACGUCUACGUCUUGGCCUCGGUGAUGCUCAACGUGCGCCUGCAGGUGCGGAUCGAGUGAGCGCCCGCCGCCACCGCCGCCGGGCCACGACAGCAGGGGCGCGGGCAUGAGGGACGGCGGGGCCAGGGGCCACCUAGACGGGCGGGAAGGAAUCGAGACCGCUCGGGCCCCCGGGCCUUAGAGCUCCGCGGAGGACACGGCCACCGAGCUCGGACCUGGCCGCGACCCGCCCACCCACGUCGCGGCUGGAGCCGCGGCGCACAGAAACCCGCGAAACGGGCCCUUUGCAUUGGCCUCGACCUGUUGCCUCCCCUUGGCCGAAGAGGAAAGCAGAAGGAAGACAUUCUUCAGCCGGAAAGUGAAAGACUGGCCCGGACCCAAAAGGUAGGAGGCCAGAGGUUGGACUUGUGGGCUGGAGGGAGGGAGGCGGUUGCCAUGACAUCUAGAGGUCCAGGCACCUCGGUAGUUUGACGGCCACGUGGAAGGGUCCCCAGGAAGCCAGCUAGGAAAGCUGCCGAAGCAAGUGCAGGCAGGACGGACGGAGGCUCUCCAGCCUCCCUUGUCAUGACCCCAAGAUGGGGAUGAGGGCGGCCUGGGCAUCUCGGAGGGUCAGCUCAUCACCCACGGAGGCGCUGGCCGUCUCUCGCGCCCACAGCCCGGGUGGUGUCCCUGAACAUGGGGGAGUGGAGGGAGGGGGUGGGGAGGCAGGCAGAAGGCCCCCCGCGGAGAGAAGGAAGAUGCUGCCACCCGUCUCCUCCACCCCCUGGGAGGCCGCCUGGAAGGAUGGCUGUGUUCUUGGCCAAACCCCAAGUCUGUCUCCUUCUCAGCUUUUCACAAAGCUGCCUCCUGCCUGGCCUCUGGGGCCAGAGGACUGCCCUCUGCCUGCUCCUGCUGUCCCUGUCGCUCGCCUCCCUGCUCCCCGAGGGCGUCCUGCAAAGCGGGCAUCCGGGGACAGGGAGGAGUGGGAAAGACGCUUCCUCCUUCCCUGCAUGGCCUCUGGCAGCCCCCGUGUCCCGAAGGAUUUGAGCGGAGGGCAGCUCUCGGGCUGGGGUGGGAGAGCAGGUGGGGAAGAGGCUUGUAGAGGAGGCGACACUUGGGGACACAGGGACCUCUCUGAAUGGGGAGGCAGCUCUCAAGUCAGCGUUUCUUUCUUUCAGGCCCUGGUGUUACAGGAGGUGACCCGCUCCUUCUCUGGUCUCCUCCAGGGAGGCAAGGUGGGCCCAGAGCUGCCUGGGGAGCAGCCAAGAGAAGGGCCCGACCCAGGAGGAGAGGAAGGGCCUUCCAGGCUGGCCCACCUGCCCAGGAUCGCCUGGGAGAAUCUCCACUAGCGGGGCUCCCGUGGUCGUGGAGGCCCGGCCGUGCUGUUGACUGGCACCCCGGGAGCGGCGCAGAGGGGGAGCCGGGAGAGCCCCUGGUCCUCCCCCCACCCCCCAGUCCCACACCUGUCCCCGCAACGGUUGCUCGUGGCCCACGUCCUCAGAGUUCCUGGGACUGAAAACCUCAGCCUGGUUGCCCCAGGGACGGGGUGGCCGAGCCUCACGCCAUCUGCCCUCCUCAGCCACCCAGCUGGUGCCUGGGUCCCAAGUGAAGAUCUCUGCUGGCCUGAGGCCUGAGGCCACCUGUAGCCCCCACACCUCCCGCAGACUGUCACAGAGCGGGCCCGAUGGUUCCUGCCUUGUUCCAUGUCGCCUGGGAGCCCCUGGUCCUGGUGGCCACUCCUCCACCCCAAGCUCGCCCACCCGGGGCCACUUCUGGGAGCCUGAGGACUGCGUGCGUGGAUCUCUGGGGCAGCCUCCGAGAGACGGUGCCACAGGGCUGCAUGGGAGGCAGCGGAGCGUCUAGAAAGUCGGGCAUCGACUUGAGUAAGACGACUUUCACUUUUCUGUGUGUGCCGAACUCUGCACCGGUCAGCACAGUCUGGUCAGAGCAACGUUCUUGUGUCUGGUGUCGUCAAAUUUUGGCGUCUGUCUAAGAUACGAAAAAAGCCCCAUGAGUUCAAUAAAAUGAAAA